rnacentral:rRNA from 1 species
UACGGAGGGUGCAAGCGUUGCUCGGAAUUAUUGGGCGUAAAGGGUAGGUAGGUGGUCUUAUUUGUCUGGGGUGAAAGCCUUGAGCUUAACUCAAGAAGUGCCCCAGAAACGGUAAGACUGGAGUCUCGGAGAGGGUCGUGGAAUUCCCGGUGUAGCGGUGAAAUGCGUAGAGAUCGGGAGGAACACCAGCGGCGAAGGCGGCGACCUGGACGAGUACUGACACUCAACUACGAAAGCGUGGGGAGCAAAC